GAUGAACGCUGGCGGCGUGCCUAAUACAUGCAAGUCGAGCGAACAGACGAGGAGCUUGUUCCUCUGAUGUUAGCGGCGGACGGGUGAGUAACACGUGGAUAACCUACCUAUAAGACUGGGAUAACUUCGGGAAACCGGAGCUAAUACCGGAUAACAUGUUAAACCGCAUGGUUCAACAGUGAAAGACGGUCUUGCUGUCACUUAUAGAUGGAUCCGCGCCGCAUUAGCUAGUUGGUAAGGUAACGGCUUACCAAGGCAACGAUGCGUAGCCGACCUGAGAGAGUGAUCGGCCACACUGGAGCUGAGACACGGUCCAGACUCCUACGGGAGGCAGCAGUAGGGAAUCUUCCGCAAUGGGCGAAAGCCUGACGGAGCAACGCCGCGUGAGUGAAGAAGGUCUUCGGAUCGUAAAACUCUGUUAUUAGGGAAGAACAAAUGUGUAAGUAACUAUGCACGUCUUGACGGUACCUAGUCAGAAAGCCACGGCUAACUACGUG
rnacentral:rRNA from 1 species